GACGAACGCUGGCGGCGUGCCUAAUACAUGCAAGUAGAACGCUGAAGGAGGAGCUUGCUUCUCUGGAUGAGUUGCGAACGGGUGAGUAACGCGUAGGUAACCUGCCUGGUAGCGGGGGAUAACUAUUGGAAACGAUAGCUAAUACCGCAUAAGAGUAGAUGUCGCAUGACAUUUGCUUAAAAGGUGCAAUUGCAUCACUACCAGAUGGACCUGCGUUGUAUUAGCUAGUUGGUGAGGUAACGGCUCACCAAGGCAACGAUACAUAGCCGACCUGAGAGGGUGAUCGGCCACACUGGGACUGAGACACGGCCCAGACUCCUACGGGAGGCAGCAGUAGGGAAUCUUCGGCAAUGGACGGAAGUCUGACCGAGCAACGCCGCGUGAGUGAAGAAGGUUUUCGGAUCGUAAAGCUCGGUUGUAAGAGAAGAACGAGUGUGAGAGUGGAAAGUUCACACUGUGACGGUAGCUUACCAGAAAGGGACGGCUAACUACGUG
rnacentral:rRNA from 1 species